rnacentral:rRNA from 1 species
UACGUAGGGGCCUAGCGUUGUCCGGAUUUAUUGGGCGUAAAGAGCUCGUAGGCGGUUCGAUAAGUCGGGUGUGAAACCUCCAGGCUCAACCUGGAGACGCCACCCGAUACUGUCGUGACUAGAGUCCAGUAGGGGAGCGUGGAAUUCCUGGUGUAGCGGUGAAAUGCGCAGAUAUCAGGAGGAACACCAGCGGCGAAGGCGGCGCUCUGGGCUGGAACUGACGCUGAGGAGCGAAAGCGUGGGGAGCGAACAGG